UGGGAAAGGGGAGAAAAAUUAAAAUAUAGGAUUAAUUGCAUACAGGUCCUUACAAAUAUAUUAAAUUAUAAAUAUAUUUCUAUAAAAAUUUUAAUAUUUUUAAAUAUGUUCCUGCCAUUAGCUAGAAUCCGUUAAAAAAAUAUAGUUAACCAUAGAUUAAAUAUUUAAUCCUAAUUAGUUUAUGAGAUAACUUGAUAUUUUUACCUAUUUUAUAUUUUACUGUUGUGGCUUUUAAAGUGACAUAUAUAUUUGUGAUGGCAAAAUUGAUAUUUUACUUAUUUACUGUUAAAAUAUAAACAAUUCUUUAACGGUAAUAAAUCAGAACGACAUAUUUGAAAAUAUUAGAACUUUUGUACAGAGAACAUAUAAAAAUUAAAGAUUGUAGAAAUAUAUUUAUAUAUAAUUUAUUAUAUUUGUAGGAACCUGUAUGCAUUUAACCCUAAAAUAUAUAUUUAUGUGGACAUUAAU
rnacentral:lncRNA from 1 species